GAGGUUGCAAAGAGUCAGAUACUACUGAAGUGAUUUAGCAUGCAUCUGAGUUUAAAUCUUACAUUCAUCACUAACUACCUGGGUGACCUUAAGCCACUGAACACACAUCAGCACAUUUCAUAAUUAGGAAAGGAUGAUCCAUGGUAUGCAACUUCUAUACACUUUUUGGAUUAAACAUCUAUGUUCAAAUCUUAGUUUUUGUAAAAGCCAGGAUCCUGAAAUACAACUGACUUGUGGAAAACUAUAACCAAUGACUUUUGAUUUGGUUAUAUGUGAAUUAGUUCUGGAUCUGUUCAGUCUUUGGACUCAUUUGUACUUUGCUUAUAACUCUAGAUAAUUUCACUAUAAUUGAUGAAAUAAGACUUUUCUUUAGUAAGUUCAUUUUCCUUUGCCUAAUGUAAAUCAUCUUUAAAAUGGGUGUAUAAGAGCUAAUAAUCUAAAACUUGUUUAUUGUGCUUUAAGAGAUUGUCUAAUUGUUCAGCUGAAUUAUAUUUUAUAGUCACUGUCUUAACAUAGAAAUUAAUAUUUCAUAUUUUGUGCUUAGAAUGAAACAAAUUCAGUGUUUUUAAGCUUAUAAAAGUUUUUCCACUAUUGAAUUUGGUAAAUCUGUGUGAAAUAGUAACAGAUUUUUAUAGCUCCUGAAGAAAAACAGUCCUUUUAUGGCUUUUUGGAUAGGUGUUUGAGUGGCAAAAUUUUAGAUUUCUCACCUCACUUUUAUUAUCCAUCACCUAUAUCCGAAAAGCUCUUAGCCAAAAGGAUCUGAUAACUUCAUCCUGUACUCUCUGUGUCAUUUGAACCAGGCCUGUGCUUUCUCAGUGCACAAUCACAACAGAUCCAGGUUAGAUAUGAGGAAGAAAGUGGCCAAUUCAAACUGAAUUUGUAGGAUACUGUUUCAGACUGUGUGAAUGGAAGCAGGAAAUACUUUUAUUUUAAAGGACAAGGUUGUUAACACAAAGGUAACUUGGGAACUUUGAGGAGAACCACAUUUUGACUAGUGUCUGAAAUUGGAGGCAGCUUCAUGUAGUGAAAAGAACUCUGGACUUGGUCCCAGAGGAUCUAUCUAGACUCAAGUCCAACCCAUGUGCCCUUUGGGAAACAACUGCUCUUAUACCACACCCCCCCCCAAAAGAAAAAGCAGCCCACAUUCAUCUCAAACAAACUUGGAUGAAGAAAAUUCAAAGUGAUUGUGUAAUGGAUUUUCAGCUCUUAAGUGGUAGAAGAGACAACUCAGUCUGAAAAAGUAAAUGUAAGAAUAAAAUGUUUCUCAAGUCCUAUGUAGUUUAAU